UACAGAGGGUGCGAGCGUUGUUCGGAAUUACUGGGCGUAAAGCGCGUGUAGGCGGCCAUCUAAGUCGGGCGUGAAAUCCCACGGCUCAACCGUGGAAGUGCACUCGAAACUGGAUGGCUAGAGUCCUGGAGAGGAAGGUGGAAUGCUUGGUGUAGAGGUAAAAUUCGUAGAUAUCAAGCGGAACACCGGUGGCGAAGGCGGCCUUCUGGACAGUGACUGACGCUGAGACGCGAAAGCGUGGGGAGCAAACAGG
rnacentral:rRNA from 1 species